AUGUACCGGUUCAAUGUCGGGGGCCAAGCCAUUUCCCCCAAGGAUGACUCGGGAUUUUACCGCUUAUGGGCUGAUGAUUCCCCAUACAUAUUCGGCGCUAGCUCUGGGGUGACAUACUCCAAAGAUAAUAAUGUGACUAUCAGGUAUACACCCGUAGUGCCAAAGUACAUAGCGCCACUUGACGUCUAUGGUACAGCUCGGUCGAUGGGACCAACUGCACAGGUCAACCUGAAUUACAACCUUACAUGGAUUUUACCUGUUGAUGCGGGGUUCAUUUAUCUCCUAAGGUUCCAUUUCUGUGAGAUCCAGUCUCCUAUUACCAAGGAGAAUCAGAGGACAUUCUACAUCUACAUCAACAACCAGACAGCACAACGGGCCACGGAUGUAAUCUCUUUGAGUGGAGGACUCGGUAGAACAUCAUAUAGAGACUAUGUUAUCAUGGCUAGUGGUUCCGGUCAGGUGGACAUGUGGAUUGCACUUCACCCUGAUAUUACAACAAAGCCACGCUAUGUUGAUGCAAUACUUAAUGGUCUUGAGGUCUUCAAGCUACAGGGUCAUGAACCGAAUAAUCUUGCUGGGCUCAAUCCUCCACUUCAACAAAAGCCUGAUGUGGAACCUAAGAGGGUACCUGGCGGUGCAAGGAAGUCCAAAAGUGGCCUACUAGUAGCCAUCGGUGGCGGUUUUGCUUUGAUGUUGAUUGCCCUUUUCAGCAUGUGUGUUAUUUUCCGACGAAAAAAAGUAGGGAAGAGUUGUUGCAAGACCAACAACGGACAUCUAAAUCAUCCCGCAUGUGAUCUCGUGCGUCAGUUCUCAUUUUCACAAAUUCAAAUUGCCACCAACGACUUUGAUGAGGAACUAAUCAUUGGCAGAGGUGGAUUUAGUAAUGUCUACAGCGGCGAGAUAGAUGGAGGGCCAAAGGUGGCGAUCAAGCGACUCAACCAGGAAUCCCAACAAGGCAGUCAUGAGUUCCAGGCUGAAAUUGAGAUGCUGUGCAAUUUCCGCCAUGGCCACCUUGUGUCUUUGAUUGGCUACUGCCAGGACAGUAAUGAGAUGAUUUUGGUGUAUGAAUACAUGGUUCAUGGAACAUUGCGUGAGCAUCUGUACAGUACCCGAAACUCACCACUAUCAUGGCGGCGGCGCCUUGAGAUCUGCAUCGGUGUAGCUCGAGGACUGCAUUACCUCCACACUGGCACAGAGAAAGGAAUCAUCCACCGUGAUGUUAAGACAUCAAACAUCCUACUGGAUGAGAGGUUCAUGGCGAAGGUCUCUGACUUUGGUCUAUCUAAGGCUUUUCCAGCCAUUGACAAUACCCACGUGAGCACCGCUGUGAAAGGCACCUUUGGAUAUUUUGAUCCGGAGUACUUCCUAUUGCGGCGUCUCACCAAAAAAUCAGAUGUGUACUCCUUCGGAGUCAUGUUGUUUGAGAUCAUGUGUGCGCGCCCUGUGAUAAACACUGAUCUCGCAGACGAGCAAGUGAGCUUACGUGACUGGGCGCUAUAUUGCCAAGAGAGGGGCGUACUUGAGGAGAUUGUUGACCCUUGUGUAAAGGACGAGAUCACCCCCGAGUGCUUCCGUAUAUUUGCAGAGCUAGCAGAAAAAUGUGUUGCUGAUCGUAGCAUAGAUCGGCCAACAAUGGAUGAUGUACUUCAGAACCUUGAGGUCGCACUCAGGUUGCAGGACAAUAACAACUGUGUCGGGAGGCCAUCGUCUCUUCAGAUAAUUGGAAUGCAUUCAGACAAACCAUCAACCCACUCAAUAAUUAGUGUCGCUGCACAGGGAGAGAUAUUUUCAGAUAUUAUGCAUCUGGAAGGCCGAUGA
rnacentral:rRNA from 1 species